GGCUCUUCCUAUCAUUGUGAAGCA
rnacentral:ncRNA from 9 species